UGCUAGGCAGAAACAAAAAUCAAUAUAGAAGUCAAGCCAUAUGAGCUCAUCUCUGAAUCACUGUGGACAUUUUGGUCUCUCCUCUCCUCUUUUUUUUUUUAGAAGACUCUUCCCUACUAAAAUGCAGCCACUUGCACUGAAGUCCAGACAACCCUGCGGAAAAUGGAAAGGAGAGGAACAGCUGGGAGACUCCAUCCCAUCUUGGCGGACAAUGACCUGGACUCAGCUAUUCAUGCCUUCAUCGCCUCCCAGCUGGACUAUGACAACAUGAUAGAUCCCGGUACAAAGCCUUCAACGUUUAGGAAAAAAACAUCUAGUACAAAACUCUGCAGCAUGUCUCCUCAGCAACACCAGCCACUGCAAGCAUAUCAAACUUGUGUUCUGCUCCCUCUGAUGCCUUUCCAUAAUAACAAGUUAAGAUCCAGGUCUCAGUCCUUAUGCUCAAUGGCCUAGGUUCAGGGCUUCUAAAAGACCUCCUAAAGUCCAGGAUAAA